rnacentral:rRNA from 1 species
AACGAACGCUGGCGGCAGGCCUAACACAUGCAAGUCGAACGCUGUAGCAAUACAGAGUGGCAGACGGGUGAGUAACGCGUGGGAACGUGCCUUUCGGAUCGGAAUAACUCAGGGAAACUUGAGCUAAUACCGGAUACGCCCUUCGGGGGAAAGAUUUAUUGCCGAAAGAUCGGCCCGCGUCCGAUUAGCUAGUUGGUGUGGUAAUGGCGCACCAAGGCGACGAUCGGUAGAUGGUCUGAGAGGAUGAUCAGCCACACUGGGACUGAGACACGGCCCAGACUCCUACGGGAGGCAGCAGUGGGGAAUAUUGGACAAUGGGCGCAAGCCUGAUCCAGCCAUGCCGCGUGAGUGAUGAAGGCCCUAGGGUUGUAAAGCUCUUUCGCCAGGGACGAUAAUGACGGUACCUGGAUAAGAAGCCCCGGCUAACUUCGUGCCAGCAGCCGCCGCGG